UACGUAGGGUGCAAGCGUUGUCCGGAAUUAUUGGGCGUAAAGAGCUCGUAGGCGGUUUGUCGCGUCUGCUGUGAAAACUCGGGGCUUAACUCCGGGCCUGCAGUGGGUACGGGCAGACUAGAGUGCGGUAGGGGAGACUGGAAUUCCUGGUGUAGCGGUGAAAUGCGCAGAUAUCAGGAGUAACACCGAUGGCGAAGGCAGGUCUCUGGGCCACUACUGACGCUGAGAAGCGAAAGCAUGGGGAGCGAACAGG
rnacentral:rRNA from 1 species